rnacentral:rRNA from 1 species
CAUGUGGGGCAAGCGUUGUUCGGAAUUACUGGGCAUAAAGGGUGCGUAGGUGGUUUGUUAAGUCAGGGGUAAAAUCCCGCGGCCCAACCGUGGAACUGCCUUUGGUACUGGCGAACUUGAGUGCGUGAGGGGUAGGGGGAACGAGCAGUGUAGCGGUGAAAUGCGUAGAUAUUGCUCGGAAGGCCAGAGCCGAAGGGGCCCUACUGGUGCGCAACUGACACUGAGGCACGAAAGCGUGGGGAGCAAACAGGAUUAGAUACCCUGGUAGUCCACGCCGUAAACUAUGAGCACUAGAUGGAUGCCGAGCUAUCGGUGUCUGUCGGAGGCAAUUUGGUAAGUGCUCCGCCUGGGGAGUAUGGUCGCAAGGCUG